UGUUCCUCUCUGAGAUGCCCCAGAUGCUGAAGGGCAUGCUGCAGAACCACCUUCCUACGGUGGGCACCCCUCCCCGUGCUGCCCUGCAUCCCCGUUCCUGAGACCUCCCAGGACGGGGCUUGGGAAGGGUGCCUGCGGGGGAGGUGGUGCUUGGCUCCACCCCGGGGACAACAUUGAGACCCUGGCCUUGGAGUUGGACUUUUGGACUAAGAACAGGAACAUCUCUGUGAGCUCCAGGGGAAAGAGCUACGUCCUGCAUUGAUAUAUCCUUUACAGGGGACCCAGUACCCGGGCCUCUCACUGUUGUGGCCUCUCCCGUUGCGGAGCACAGGCUCCGGACGCGCAGGCUCAGCGGCCAUGGCUCACGGGCCCAGCCGCUCCACGGCAUGUGGGAUCUUCCCGGACCGGGGCACGAACCCGUGUCCCCUGCAUCGGCAGGCGGACUCUCAACCACUGCGCCACCAGGGAAGCCCAUGACCAGCUUUUUUAAAAGGUUGAUUUUCCAGGCUCCCCUGCAGUCAGGGUUAGCUGGGGACCCAGUUCUGACACCUAUAAGUGAAAGCCACUGGAAGAGGCUCCUGGGAAAACUCCUUAGGAGGGGGAGGACUCAGCCGGCUUUGCUCUUGGCCUUUUGCCCUUCCCCCUCCUUCUUGCCUUGAGCACAGAUGAAGUGCUUGGAUCUGCAGAAGCCACCUUGCAACCACAAAGCAAUGAACCCAAGGCUGAAAACCACAGGCUUAAGAUGGCAGAGCAGAAAGAGAGACUGGCCCCUCGAUGGUACCUGUCCUAAUGUCCCAGCAAUGUUGCAGUGAUCCUGGCCUAACCUCAGUCCGGCUCUGGGUGUCAGAGGCAGAUCGACCCAUCUAUCUGGAUCAGGUGCCUGGCCCACCUUCCUCACAGCUUUGGAAACCAACUCCAGAGCCCCAGAGUCCCCAUCAGCACUUGUGCCAACAGCUCCUGGCAUCCUCACGGGCAGUGAAGCCAGGAUGGGUUUUCUGCAAGAAGGACGUGGUUUGGUCAGCCUGGAGAGGAUGGGCCUGGAAGGAUCUUCUGACGUCGAAGUUUUCAGGCUCUACCAAAGAAGACAUACAGAUGGCCAGUAGGCACAUGAAAAGAUGCUCAACAUCACUAAUUAUUAGAGAAAUGCAAAUCAAAACUACAGUGAGGUACCACCUCACACCGGUCAGAAUGGCCGGUCAAAAAGUCUACAAAUAACAAAUGCUGGAGAGGGUGUGGAGAAAGGGGAACCCUCCUGCACUGUUGGUGGCAAUCCAUGCUGCGUGACAUGUGGGAUCUCAGUUCCCCGACCAGGGAUUGAACCCAUGCCCCCUGCAGUGGAAGCACGGAGUCUUAAGCACUGGACCACCAGGGAAGUCCGAGCCUCUUUUAUUAUUUUUUCUACUUGUA